UUCCUUUUUUUUAAAGCCCAUAGCUGCCUUUCUUUUUCAAGGUGUUUUCCUUUUAAUACUUUCUGGAGAUAGGGCGAUUUAUUGUUAUUUGUACUUUGCUUGGUAGCUGUGUCAGGCCCAGAAAGAGACAUUUCCCUUUUAGUGUGAUUCAAAGUGAGAUCCAAAAUUGGUAAACAGAAAAGUGGCCCGAAAUCAAUUCUAGUAUUUCUUAGAGGCUGAGAGGAGAGAAGAAGUUAAAAACUCAAUUCUGGAACAAUGUUCCAAAGCCUGGGAGAAGGUAGGCAAUGACCAAGGUCAGGAAACUGGAGUUUGAGAAGAGCACAAAACCUUCAUUGGUGACUGACAGCUUGCCUCACCUCUUGUAAAGAAUCAUUCUGAGAUAGUCUUCCAUGGCUAUGGAGUGCUGGCCAUGUGGUUUUCUUGCUCAGCUGCCUCUUUACAGCUAUGAACCCAGACAGACUCAUGAAGGUCAUGCCACAUCUACUUAAGUCAAUGAAGUGUUCAAACACCACCGCCCCUCCUUGUGAUUCUUUCCAGGCUUUAGUAUAUGCAUUUAUUUUUGGCCUUCCUGCGCUCAGUUCUAUCUCUUGUGACUUUUCCAUAGCAAACAGCCAUUUGAAUUCUAGCCAGCAUUUCAUCGUUUGGUUACCGAGCACAGAAUAGAGCUGCAGCAUGGACAUACUACACUUUUUGUUUUUCAUUCCUUUCUAGGAGUGCAUCAUGCUACAGUGAAAUACUUUGCAGCACAGCAGACUUCAAACCUCCUAGACAAGAUGGCAAUCCCUUCUGGAAGUAUGCUGCAAGGAGCCUUGUAAAGGAGAGAAGCAGUCUGACAUGGCUCAUGUUUUUUCCCCCAUUUAACCGGUGUCUUAUAUCCUGUACCAUAUUUUCUUUGUGCGACAUUGACACUCAAAUAGCUGUGUAAGGCCACUCUAAAGAACUGGAGAAAGGAACCAUGAGAACAAUUCCAGAAUGCAGAGCCACAAUUCUGGCAGAAAGAGAUAAGAAGACCGAAGCUCAGAAAAGUCUUGCCCAAAUUUACACAGGGACUUACUAGCAGAGUUAGGAUGUGAACCCUAUGAAAUAAAAUCGAUGGUGGCCGUAGGAAGGAUCUGCCAUCUCUCAAUUAUCCAUGGCCACAAAAGGGGAAUGUUGAUGUGGGUAAUCAGAAACUGCACGUAAUCUGCAUGAACAAGGCUGACUCACGUGGAGAAAAGAAACUGGCCCCGAGGGAGGUCUGUGCCCAGCUGUAUGUGGUGAAGUGCCUGGAUGCUCAGCUGGGUGAUUGAUCAGAUUUCUCCCAGGACACCAGACAGAUCAGCUAGUAGUCCAGCAAAUUCACGGAUUGGAGAAGAGCCAUUGGUAUUCUAUGCUUGGUCGUGUACUGUCAAGCAUCUUUAUGAAUGACUUGGAUAAUGACCUAGAGGCCAUGAUUUUCACAUUUCUAGAUGACACAAACUAGAAGAGAUAGAUAAAUAUCUGAUGAUGAGUCAAGAUCCAAAAAUCCCUCAAGAGGCUCAAACAUUGGGCCAGAAGAUGAGAUUUGAUAGGGACAAAUGGAAUUUCUUGUAUUUGGAUUAAAACUCUUAAGAUAGAAGUCUAAAAUGUGGGAAGGGGUAGCUAGACAACAAUUCCUAGAAAAAAAAUUUGAAGGCUUUGAUGGAUUUCAAACUCAGUAAAAGUUGAUAGUGGGGGCAAAACCAAAGGUGGAGAGAACCAGGAAGUCACCUGAGCUCUCUCUAGUUUCCUUCCAAAACAACAUUAAAUCAAGCAUUUAAAUGGAUUCUGAAGCAACAGAACACACAAAAGAUAGAGUGCAACAAUUUUCUAUCUUAGGAUAACUUAGAAGGGUUUCAGGAAAGGUCUGUCUCACUUGGGUAAGAAGGGAGCGCAGCCACAGCACAGAUCAGCAACUGAGGCUCCUUGGUCUUGGCUCAGCAGGCCAGUGGCACAGCAGGCCAGCUGUGAGGACUUCAGUCCCAGAACAGAAGACAUACUGCCAGCCCCAGAACUCUGGUACAAGGCAAGACUAGCCAGGCCACCCCAACACAAUGGGCAAGUUGCCAGCACCUAAGGCCUUGGGUCAGAAAGCCAGUUAACAGACCCUUGGCCCCCAGUGUAAGAAGCUUGGGACAGUACCCCAUGUACCCCAGGAGUAGAGCCCAACAUUAAAAGUCAUUAAAUAGGCUCAUAAAUGAGAAAAAAAACCAGAAGAGCCCUGACUGUAGAAAGCUACUAUGGUGACAGGGAAGAUCAAAAUACAAAUUAAUAAAAAAAAAAACAAUGUGAAAUGUCUACAUGCGAAACCCCAAGAGGCAAUAUGAAUUGGUCUAAAGCCCAAAAAAAUAUUCUUGGAAGAGCUCAGAAAGGAUUUUAAAAAUGGAAUAAGAGAGAUAGAAGAAAAAUUGGGAAAAUAAAUAAGAGUUAUGCAAGAAAGAGUCAACAGCUUGGAAAAGAAAGGACAAAAAUUGGCUAAAGAAUUUCUUAAAACAUACUAUUGGCAAAAUUGGGAAAAGAAUCCACUGAAGAAAACAACUCUUUAAAAAGUAGAAUUGACCAAAUGGAAUAGGAGGUA